rnacentral:rRNA from 1 species
AAGGGUGAGUAAGGCGACGGCAACCAACCCCACAGAGGGGGACAGCCGGUGGAAACGCCGGGUAAUCCCCCAUGAUACCAUCGUGUGGCAUCACGUGAUGGUCAAAGGUGUGAGUCCGCUGUGGGACGGGCCGUCGUGGUAUCAGCUCGAUGGUGAGGUAACGGCUCACCAUGGCAACGACGCCUAGCGGGCGUGCGAGCGUGGCCCGCCACACUGGGACUGAGACACUGCCCAGACAACUACGGUUGGCUGCAGUCGAGAAUCUUCGGCAAUGGACGACAGUCUGACCGAGCGACGCCGCGUGGGGGACGAAGGCUUUCGAGUUGUAAACCCCUGUCGGAGGGGAGCAAGGGGUGCGUGAAGAACGUACCUCGAGCGAUCUUUGGGGGGAAGCACGGGCUAUUUCCGUGCAACCACCCGGGUAAAAACGAAUCUGGCAAAGUUUUUUCGAAAUCACUGGGGCUUUAAACCGCGGUUAGGCGGUGGGCCACCUUCCGGUGCCUGAAA